rnacentral:rRNA from 1 species
CGUAACACGUAUGCAACCUACCUGUAACAGGAGUAUAGCUCGGGGAAACUCGAAUUAACCCUCCAUAAGAUCGUGAAGUGGCAUCACUUAGCGCUUAAAACUGAGGUGGUUACAGAUGGGCAUGCGUCUGAUUAGUUAGUUGGCGGGGUAAUGGCCCACCAAGACGAUGAUCAGUAGGGGAACUGAGAGGUUGAUCCCCCACACUGGCACUGAGAUACGGGCCAG